rnacentral:lncRNA from 1 species
CACGCACACAGGCAUGCAUAUGCACAUGUACACAGGCAUGCACACACAGGCAUGCACACAGGCAUGCACACAUACACAGGCAUGCAUAUGCACACUUACACAGGCAUGCACAUACACACAGGCAUGCACACACACAGGCAUGUACAUGGGCAUGCACACGUACACAGGCAUGCACAUGCACACACACAGGCAUGCACACGGGCACAGGCACGCACAUGCACACAGGCAUGCACACGAGCUGACAAAUGCCUACAUAUGCACGUGUGCUUGCACUCAUGCAUGCACAACACACAUUUGAGCGCACGGAAGCAUGCAAACAUGCAUGUGUUCACACCCAUGGAUACACGCACACGUGCAUGCAAACACAUGUGCAAGCACACGCCUGGACACAGAACCGGGACGAGGGUGAGGGGAGUGAGGAUGCGACUUAAAAUCAAGGUGGGAUCCUGCCUUUGUUUCAAAAUUCAAGGCUUUGUUCAUCUG